rnacentral:rRNA from 1 species
CCUACGGGUGGCAGCAGUGAGGAAUAUUGGUCAAUGGGCGGAAGCCUGAACCAGCCAAGUAGCGUGCAGGAUGACGGCCCUACGGGUUGUCAACUGCUUUUAUACGGGAAUAACGCGCCUUACGUGUAGGGCUUUGCAUGUACCGUAUGAAUAAGGACCGACUAAUUCCGUUCCAGCAGCCGCGGUAAUACGGAGGGUCCGGGCGUUAUCCGGAUUUAUUGGGGUUAAAGGGAGCGUAGGCCGCAUGUCAAGCGUGCUGUGAAAUGUCGGGGCUCAACCCCGGCCUGCCGUCGGAACUGGGUGCCUUGAGUGGGCGAGAAGGAUGCAGAAUGCGUGGUGUAGCGGUGAAAUGCAUAGAGAUCACGCAGAACCCCGAUUGCGAAGGCAGCAUACCGGCGCCCUACUGACGCUGAGGCACGAAAGUGCGGGUAUCGAACAGGAUUAGAUACCCCAGUAGUC